CCUACGGGUGACAGCAGUGAGGAAUAUUGGUCAAUGGACGAGAGUCUGAACCAGCCAAGUAGCGUGAAGGAUACUGCCCUAUGGGUUGUAAACUUCUUUUAUAAAGGAAUAAAACGAGGCACGUGUGCCUUCUUGCAUGUACUUUAUGAAUAAGGAUCGGCUAACUACGUGCCAGCAGCCGCGGUAAUACGGAGGAUCGGAGCGUUGUCCGGAUUUAUUGGGUUUAAAGGAAGCGUAGAUGGGUUGUUAAGUCAGUUGUGAAGGUUUGCGGCGCAACCGUAAAAUUGCAAUUGAUACUGGCAGUCUUGAGUACAGUUGAGGUAGGCGGAAUUCGUGGUGUAGCGGUGAAAUGCUUAGAUAUCACGAAGAACCCCGAUCGCGAAGGCAGCUGACUAAACUGUGACUGACAUUGAUGCUCGAAAGUGUGGGUAUCAAACAGGAUUAGAUACCCUUGUAGUC
rnacentral:rRNA from 1 species